rnacentral:lncRNA from 7 species
GCAAUCUGCCAGGGAGCAGGUGCAGCAUCUGACAAAUGCCUUGCUGCAGUUUCCGCCUCCUCUGCAUCCCUUCAGCUUCUGUUUUUUAGUGGAUUGAUAUAUGGGGGUCUCCCAUGUGAGCAUUGCAGAUGGAGGGCUGUGAGGCUGAGGCAUCUACACUGCUUUACAACCAGCAUUACAGCACAAGAGUGGUCUUACAGCAGUGAUACAUCCUGAAUCUGAGCUGUGUGAUGAAGCGAGGCCGCACGGCAGUCAUCACCCAUUCCUACAGCAGGCUUCCAAAUACAAACUGAAAAUAUAGCAUCAGGACAGUGGUUUCACCCAAGUCAGGUUCACAAGUCUAUCCACCAUCUGGAGCAAUUACAAGGUGGCUGGAAAGCCAUGGAAAUACUGUUCCCAAAGAAAGGACGUCCACUAGUGGAGGCACGGGUCCAUCCCAGAACCCUCACUCAUACCUCCAGGACAGUGAUGUGCUUCUCCACUAAGAUGCAGAAUGGAAGGGUCUGAGGACCUGAUGUUAACAUUUUUAGACAGCUUCAGGCCAGGGGUUUGGCAGUCAGUCUUACACAAUGGGAAGGUGGUGUCACUUCGUGUCAGAGCAAUCAGGAACAUUGGUGACAAUCCAGAGUUUGCCACAAAAGCUGCAGUGUAACCAGAGAUAAUGUAAGUGAGGACCUUCUUGGUGAAAAUUUCCUUCCCGUUCAUGUUCUGCUGUCUUCUAUUUCCAAACUCCACCCACUUCUGCUCCCCGGUGCAGCCAAAUACUCUGGUCACAGAUCUUUGAGUUUGGACAUAAAUGCAGAGAGGCCACCACCACAGUUUUUGCCUUCUUGAGGAGCUCACCAACAACCUGGCGUCCCAGAAGCCUGGCUGAGGUUCCCAGUUGUGAUGGUUUCCAGUGUCCGACUUGGAUAAUUGAUCAGAGCUAAACAGUGAGAAGAAAAGAACUCCAGUAGAAAUGAGAUCACUUCCUUCAAAAGCAAUGACAGAAAACAGAAAGCCUCUAUUGCUGAACUGAGAGUAAAGAUUUGCUGGGUUGAAG